CUAUUGUUACAGAUGAUUAAAAAAAAAAUCUUCAUUAAACUUUUUUUUGAAUUUCCUUUAAGUUUUUACGACCUAUUACCAUAAAGUAGAACUAUGGAAACUAUUUCAUUUAUAAUUAAAAUAUAAUAAUAUAUAAUUUAUUUUUCUUCGCUUAGGUUUCCCCAAAUAGCCAGCUCCCAUUAGAAUUAAAGUAUCAAUAUUUAAAUUGGGAAUGCAAACAUGCUGGAGUAAUUAACUCUCGAGGAAAAGAAAAGCGCCAGACUAAUACUUUUGCUAAUGGAUGUUCUGUACAAAUAACCAUAGUGUAUGAAUGUUUAUUUAAAAAUUCGUAUUGAAUUUUGUGUUGAAAAACAUAAUUUUUUUUUUUUUAAUUUUGCUAGUUUUAUAAAACAUUUGGAAUAUAAUAUGGGUAAGAAGAGGUUGUAACCUUGAA